AACGAACGCUGGCGGCAGGCCUAACACAUGCAAGUCGAGCGAAGCCUUCGGGUUUAGCGGCGGACGGGUGAGUAACGCGUGGGAAUAUGCCCUUUGGUACGGAACAGUCCCGGGAAACUGGGUUUAAUACCGUAUGUGGUCCUUCGUAGUGGAUACGGGGGACGAAAGAUUUAUCGCCAAAGGAUUAGCCCGCGUUGGAUUAGGUAGUUGGUGGGUAACGGCCUACCAAGCCGACGAUCCAUAGCUGGUUUGAGAGGAUGAUCAGCCACACUGGGACUGAGACACGGCCCAGACUCCUACGGGAGGCAGCAGUGGGGAAUCUUAGACAAUGGGGGCAACCCUGAUCUAGCCAUGCCGCGUGAGUGAUGAAGGCCUUAGGGUUGUAAAGCUCUUUCAGCUGGGAAGAUAAUGACGGUACCAGCAGAAGAAGCCCCGGCUAACUCCGUG
rnacentral:rRNA from 1 species